AUAGGUUUUGACAUCAACGUGCUUCUCAAAGAAGCAAGGAGCAGGUGGUUAAAGCCUUCUGAAGUUUACUAUAUCUUGUUGAAUCAUGAGCAGCUUCAUAUCACCCAUGAGCCACCAAAUAAGCCACCCAGUAAGUACAUCUCCUUAAUUUUGAGAAAUUUGCUUUUACUUCUAUCUUUAUUUGUGUACAAUAACAAUAUCAUUUGUUCUCUAGGUGGCUCACUAUUCCUUUAUAAUCGCCGUGUGAAUCGGUUUUUCCGGAAAGAUGGUUAUGCAUGGCGAAGGAAGAAAGAUGGAAGAACUGUCGGGGAGGCUCACGAGCGAUUAAAGGUUUGCUUCAGAAAGCUCAGUAUAGUGUCACUGUAUUCCAAUUAUUUUCGUCUUGUCAAUACAGUCUUGCCAACAAGAGAGGGUGCCGCCUGUCAGGACAUCUCGGACUGGGUGUGCAUGUCCCUUCUAUUAAUGCAUCAUCUUUGCAAGAAGUAG
rnacentral:rRNA from 1 species